GUGUCAGCAGCCGCGGUAAGACGAGUCUCACGAACGUUAUUCGGAAUUACUGGGCUUAAAGGGUGCGUAGGCGGUGGAGUAAGUCGGAUGUGAAAUACCAUAGCUUAACUAUGGAACUGCACUCGAUACUACUUUGCUAGAGUAAGACAGAGGUGAGUGGAACUGAGGGUGGAGCGGUGAAAUGCGUUGAUAUCCUCAGGAACACCGGUGGCGAAGGCGACUCACUGGGUCUUUACUGACGCUGAUGCACGAAAGCUAGGGUAGCAAACGGGAUUAGAUACCCUGGUAGUCC
rnacentral:rRNA from 1 species